UUUUUCAGCUCCAAUUUAAUCUUAUGGGACCACCAUCGUAAAUACAAGAAGUCGGUGAUUCAUGCGUCAUCAUGCAGCUCACGACUGUCCACAGGAAUGGGUUUGAAAAGAGAUUGCCCAGUGUCUUCAGAUGACUGCAGUCACGACUGACAACUUGGUGCAACUUCAUGAGAGAUGCUGAGCCACAACCACCCAGCUAAGUCAUGUUCACAUUCCUAACCCUCAGAAACUGUGUGAAAUAAUAAAUGUUUAAAUGUUUGUUGUAA